UCCGCAUUAGUGUAGGGGUUAACAUACUCCGCUUUCAAACAAGAGCGCCGGAGAGCCCCGGGUUCGAUUCCCGGAUGCGGAA
rfam:Blumeria graminis f. sp. tritici 96224 unplaced genomic scaffold Scaffold-273, whole genome shotgun sequence.